GACAGAGGGGGCAAGCGUUAUUCGGAAUUAUUGGGCGUAAAGGGCGCGUAGGCGGCCUGGCAAGUGGAAGGUGAAAUCCCUCGGCUUAACCGAGGAACUGCCCUCCAAACUGCUUGGCUUGAGGGCGGGAGAGGUCGGUGGAAUUCCCGGUGUAGUGGGUGAAAUGCGUAGAGAUCGGGAGGAACACCUGUGGCGAAGGCGGCCGACUGGGCCGACCCUGACGCUGAGGCGCGAAGGCGUGGGGAGCGAACGGG
rnacentral:rRNA from 1 species